ACAUUUAGAAAAAAUAGUAGAAAAAAAAAGAAGAAAGAAGAAACCUUUCCUUUGUGCCUCAUCUUCUCCAUUUCAUCGUUUUCAUUUCACCUCUUCAUCUUCUUUUCAUCUUUCCAUUUCCGUUUCACCAUCUCAAUCAUACACUACUCACAUUGUUCUUUAUUUGCUUACAUUACUGUUAAUCAAACCCUAAAAUCCCUAUCAGAUUUUCAAUCGAUUCCGAAACCCCUAAAAUUCGUCAGACUUUCAAUCGAAUCAAAACCCCCUAAAAUUUAUAACCUCUUUCAAUUGUUCAAUCAAUCACUUUAUCACUUGUGAAACACUCUAAAUCUUUCUGAAUCUCUCUAUUUUUAAGAUCAAAACCCUGAGCAAGAAAGUUUUUAAGAAAUCCACUUCAAAUCGCACAACCUUCUGAAAUUGCUCACCUUCUAGUGCAUGUUCUGUACCUGGGUAGUUUUUUUCUAGACUUCAAGUGGGAAAGAUUGAUUCGCCUAAUCAACGCCUUCUAUUUCCAACUAUUUUGAGUUUUAGGAAGAAGAUAUUCCCCUUAGAUAUCUAGUGCAAAGAAGGACUAUUCGAGUCACAACAAAUUGAAGAACACUUUUUAGUCACGGACCUUGGUAAAAGAAAUAAAGAAAGUCAAUGCAAGCAAGUUAUUCCUCGUACCAGUGGUUCAAAACCUCUAGCGAGAAAAAGAUAUGAGAUGUUUAUGGAAACUGGGUAACUACUGAGUCGUGGAAAAUUAUACAUCGAAACUCACAAGAGAAAAGAUGGAUGAUUGGUAAAUGAUGCAGCAAAGACUAUGGUUGAACAAAUAGAAUAGGGUUUGACACAAAGUACUAAUGAUGAAUCAGAAGUUUCUCCUAAAGAUGUUCUCAGUAGAGUGCUUGGACUAGAGCAUUCUGGGAGAGUGCGUUGCAUGGGAAUGAGAGCAGUACCAACUGGAGCAUUUAGGAACACUAGACUGCGAAUUUCAUAUUUGAGUUUUCUUCACCUAAUGUUACAAUAUCAUCAUCAUCAUCAUCUAACCCUCGGCAAGAGAAGUACAACCACUUAGAAUCUCAAACUCAAACCAUCUUGAGUUCAUUCAAGACCUAUGUCAUAAUGAAAGAAGGGAAGAUACCUGAAAAAUUAGUUGGCCUUUUGGAUAAACCAAAUGUAAAGAUGCUCCGACUUUUCAUAAUUCACCAAGCAUGCCAACCUCACCAUUGGAUACUAGUGUGGCUAACUCAUCUUUGGGUGCAAGAAGAUCAUCAAAUGCAAGCAAUGAUUGAUGUUAUUACAAAUAUGCAGGCAUGACUAAUUUAUCAUUGGAUGCUACCGUGACCAACUCACUUUUAAAUGCAAGAUCAUCAAAUGUUAGCAAUUUUAUUUUUGGUGUGAUUAGAAAUAGGGUAACCCUUAGAAAUAUGCAAGCAAUUCUAAUGAUUUGAUGAUAGUAUGUCUAACCCACCUUUGGAUGUAAGAUCAUCAUCAAAUGCUAGAAACAUUUGAAGUUAUUAAAAAUUGGCU